AGAGUUUGAUCCUGGCUCAAGACGAACGCUGGCGGCGCGCCUAACACAUGCAAGUCGAACGGAGCGUACAGAGCUUGCUUUUUAAGCUUAGUGGCGAACGGGUGAGUAACGCACGAGUAACCUGCCCUAGAGUGGGGGACAACGGUUGGAAACGACUGCUAAUACCGCUUGAGCCCACGGUGCCGCAUGGUACUGAGGGAAAAGGAUUUAUUCGCUUUAGGAUGGACUCGCGUCCAAUUACCCACGUGGGGAGGUAACGGCCCACCAAGGCGACUACUGGUAGCCGGACAGAAAGGUUGAACGGGCACAUUGGGACUGACACACGGCCCAUAAUCCUACGGGAGGCAGCAGUGGGGGAUAUUGCACAGAUGGGGGAAACCCAGAUGCAGCGACGCCGCGUGGAGGAAGAAGGUUUUCGGGAUUGUGAGACUCCUGUCGUUAGGGAAGAUAAUGACGGUACCUAACAAGAAAGCCCCGGCUAACUACGUGCCAGCAGCCGCGGUAAAACGUAGGGUGCAAGCGUUGUCCGGAAUUACUGGGUGUAAAGGGAGUGCAGGCGGGAAGACAAGUUGGAAGUGAAAACCAUGGGCUCAACCCAUGAAUUGCUUUCAAAACUGUUUUUCUUGAGUACUGCAGAGGUAGAUGGAAUUCCUGGUGUAGCGGUGGAAUGCGUAGAUAUCGGGAGGAACACCAGUGGCGAAGGCGGUCUACUGGACACCAACUGACGCUGAGGCUCGAAAGCAUGGGUAGCAAACAGGAUUAGAUACCCUGGUAGUCCAUGCCGUAAACGAUGAUUACUAGGUGGUGGGGGAUUGACCCCCUCAGUGCCGCAGUUAACACAAUAAGUAAUCCACCUGGGGAGUACGACCGCAAGGUUGAAACUCAAAGGAAUUGACGGGGGCCCGCACAAGCAGUGGAGUAUGGGGUUAAAUUAGAAGCAACGCGAAGACCCUUUCCAGGUCUGGACAUCCGAUGCAUAGCACAGAGAUGUGUGAAAUCCUUCGGGACAUUGAGACAGGUGGUGCAUGGUUGUGGUCUGCUCGUGUCGCGAGAUGUUGGGUUAAGUCCCGCAACGAGCGCAACCCCUUUUGCCAGUUAGUCCGUUAAGAGGCCUUCGAGGAGAUCGCCGGUGACAAAAUGGAGGAAGGUGGGGAUGACGGCCAAUCCUCAUGCCCCCUAUUAUCUGGGCUACCCACGUUAUCCAAUGGCGUUAAACAAAGAGAAGCAAGAGCGGGAGGGGGAGCCAAACUCAAAAACACCGUCUCAGUUCAGAUUGCAGGCUGCAACUCGCCUGCAUGAAGUCGGAAUUGCUAGUAAUCGCGGAUCAGCAUGCCGCGGUGAAUACGUUCCCGGGCCUUGCACACACCGCCCGUCA
rnacentral:rRNA from 1 species